rnacentral:misc_RNA from 1 species
UAGCUCCUUUUUUUUUUUUAUUAGAGAAAAGAAAUUCAUUAAACUGGCAAACUGAGUAUAAAAAACUCUAGCUUAUACCAAACACCAGUCCAACUAAACAAAGCUCUCAUAGGGAGAAGCCCAACAAAUAAUCCAAUACAAGCCCAAACCCUAGGCCUAAUUAUUGCCGUCAAAGGAGCAGAGCUUCACAGCCACCACUUAUCAACAACCACGAACAAUAGAAAGAGGAAGCGGGCUCAACUUCAACUCAACACUGCAAACAACAUAGAGCUAAAUCGUAUCCCUAAAGCAGACCACAGAGGACUAUUGAAGACGAAGCACCGUCAAACCGAAGGAGAGAGGUGGGUAGGGUCGCUCGGCAGAGCUCCGAAUGGCAAGAGAGCCAUGAAGAUCAGACGGUGAAGAUACAAACUUUGCAACCCCGGAGGUGCCGGGCCUCACGGCCUAGAGGUUUUUGCACCCUCCCAUCGAAAGCUUGAAGACUAUGGAGACUGCGCUCCACCAUGCACAAGGACUCCAGAAAAGCACAAUAGCUCCACAAUUGUGCUGGAGGACCACAACUGAGAGAACAACAACCAAACAUCCUUACCGAAACAUAAACCUCACCAAGGAAAAAACAAUCUAAGGCUUCAAAAUGAAACAAAAUGAAAAUAGAAAGGAAGCUAGUAGAUCAGCAAGGGCCUUCUCACUGAAGCACAGGAUCCACCAAAACAAGCUUACACAGACUAGAUCUAUAAGAAAUUGACAAAGAAAACACAUAUCUAGAACAAAAAAAACUAACACCCAAAUAAAAUCUAUAUACAUUCUAACCGAAGGAAGGAGAGGGACCUUCGUCUGACAAAGAAUGGAUGUCGUCCCCUACCUUGGAGGGCAAAGGACGAUCACUCACAUGUUUCUCUAGUUCUAUAGGCGAUGAAAAGGGAAA